AGGACACCGGUCCAGAGAUGCAGUCGCACGGAGCGGAUCAUUUGCACGAGUCAGCAUUUAUCAAAAACUUUCGAAACUACACAGCCUCAGCGUGAUUAUGAUCACUGUCUUGUUUUACUAAGUUUCAUAUUGAAUCUAGAAAUUUACGUCACCACAUAGAGUAACGCUGUGUGUUUCAAGGCUCUUCAGGGGACCUUUAAGGUCAGGAAUCGGAUGCUUGUGAAAUUAAAAUUCCCAUUCCAUCAAUUCCUGUGUGCUGCUAUUAUUUAUUUUUAUUUUUUUUCUAUCUUUGAGGACCCGAGCUGGCGAUCUUCCAGGACCUUGCUCGCUAAUCCAAACGUUUCAGAGUUUGGCUACUUGCGAUCAGAAGCUCAAAAAGCUAAAGGUGAUGUGAUUCUGAAAGAGAAGUGUGCCAGCUCUUUUCUCCAUUCUUCUGCUCCUGACAAACUCUGACAACAGCAGCUGGUGACCGCAGGAGAGUUCACGCGCUGAAGGGAUCAUCACACCACCACCACUGAAGAUGAGCUGGAAAGUUUAACAGUUGGGCUUCACACAUCUGUUGCUUUAUAAACUUAUGAAUAAAUGAUAUUUCAUAACAGAAAUAUGAAAUGGA
ensembl:lncRNA